UUUGUUCCCAUCUGCAAGCCAUUUCUCUAUUGCACUUCGCUCAAACGUUUGUCCUGAAGAGGUCUCCACAGGGUCAACCAUAACAUCCCGAGUGAUUGGGCAAUAAAAUGAUUGGAGCGGUUCCAAUGUUAGACUACCCAAGGACUUCCGUUUUGUGAAAUACUUCAUCUCUUUCUCCUUAGGAGAAGAAGCUGCAUCUGCUCUUUCUAGUAAAGCAAUUAUCUGA
rnacentral:misc_RNA from 1 species